rnacentral:rRNA from 1 species
GAUGAACGCUAGCUACAGGCUUAACACAUGCAAGUCGAGGGGAAACGACAUCGAAAGCUUGCUUUUGAUGGGCGUCGACCGGCGCACGGGUGAGUAACGCGUAUCCAACCUGCCCACCACUUGGGGAUAACCUUGCGAAAGUAAGACUAAUACCCGAUGAUAUCUCUAGACGACAUCUGAAAGGGAUUAAAGAUUUAUCGGUGAUGGAUGGGGAUGCGUCUGAUUAGCUUGUUGGCGGGGUAACGGCCCACCAAGGCGACGAUCAGUAGCCGGACUGAGAGGAAGGUCCCCCACAUUGGAACUGAGACACGGUCCAAACUCCUACGGGAGGCAGCAGUGAGGAAUAUUGGUCAAUGGGCGAGAGCCUGAACCAGCCAAGUAGCGUGCAGGAUGACGGCCCUAUGGGUUGUAAACUGCUUUUAUAAGGGAAUAAAGUGGGUCACGUGUGACUUUUUGCAUGUACCUUAUGAAUAAGGACCGGCUAAUUCCGUG